rnacentral:lncRNA from 1 species
CACUUUGGGAGGCUGAGACGGGCGGAUCACGAGGUCAGGAGAUCGAGACCAUCCUGGCUAACACGGUGAAACCCCGUCUCUACUAAAAAAUACAACAACAACAAAAAAAACUAGCCGGGCGCGGUGGCGGGCGCCUGUAGUCCCAGCUACUUGGGAGGCUGAGGCAGGAGAAUGGCGUGAACCCGGGAGGCGGAGCUUGCAGUGAGCCGAGAUCGCGCCACUGCACUCCAGCCUGGGCAACAGCGUGAGACUCCGUCUCAAAAAAAAAAAAAAAAAAAAAAAAAAAAAAAAAAAGAAGAGAUCUCUUCAAAACCAUUUGACUUUACAUUGUUUAGAGAUACUGAAGGAACAAGUUUUAAAGCCUCAUUUAUUCUUUUUACAGUUCAUAAUUUUGGUAUUUGAAUGCCAAUGAUCUCCUUAUUCCUUACUCUCUUACUGGCCAACAAUUUCUGCAAGGUUCACAUAGAAGAGGCCAAGGAAUUCACUUAGCUCAGUAACUACCUACCAUGACAUACUUAUUAAAGGAAUACACUUUUUUUGUUUUUAAAUAGAAAAAGUCAAGACAGACCAAAUGAGAUGGCUUCAUAUGUAAAAGAGAAGCCUACCAACAGCAUUGACUACUAUGCAGGACAGGCUGUUGGGUACAAAAAAGACAGUGUUGCUUUCUUCAGCCUCAGUUUACCCUAGUAAGCCAUGGGCUUAAUGUUAGCCCUGAAUGUGAAGAAGAGGCGUUAUUGCAUACAAGUUCAAGGUUUUUGUUCCCAGCUGAACAAUUCCUGUUGUUUUUAAUAGUCUUAAGACUAGUAGUCACUGAGCAUUCAUUCUAGCAUUGCCUUCUCUCCCUCCUAGCUCCCACCACACUGGAGAAUUACAAUAUUGAUGACUAAGAAUGGACUUAAAUAAUCCAAAGUAAAACUGAGCAUCAGAGUUAAGAAAAAGCUGGUCCAAUUCUCUAGUGCUUGCUAAAGGUAACAUUAAGUUCAGAAUCGAAGCCACAGAGUACAAGGGAUUGAUUUGCAGCAAAGCUGAUAACCCUCCAUUUUGGAAUGAAGCAUGGACAGAAAGAAGGCAAGCAUUCUUACUUUACAUUCACUAUAUAUUAAUUAGUAAAACUUUGGCUUGUGAUCCUCCAAAUGAGAAAUUAAUGAUAUAAAAAUAAUCACUACAUUAGAAUUGAAUUAUGUUCAAACUUUAUUUUGUUUAUGAGAAAGUUUAAGAUAGUUUAUCGUUAGAAAACCUAGAGAGGCUACCUAAAUGAGGAUACCUUUAGAGGAUACCUAAAUAAAGAUUAGUACCUU